AACGGCUCAGUAACACGUGGACAAUCUAACCUACGGAAGAGGAUAACCCCGGGAAACUGGGGAUAAUACUCUAUAGACUAUGGAUGCUGGAAUGCUUCGUAGUCGAAAGGUCCGCCGCCGUAGGAUGGGUCUGCGGCCGAUUAGGUUGUUGUUGGGGUAACGGCCCAACAAGCCUGUAAUCGGUACGGGUUGUGGGAGCAAGAGCCCGGAGAUGGAUUCUGAGACACGAAUCCAGGCCCUACGGGGCGCAGCAGGCGCGAAAACUUUACAAUGCGGGAAACCGUGAUAAGGGAACUCCGAGUGCCCGUAAAAUCGGGCUGUCCAUCAGUGUAAAUAACUGGUGAAGAAAGGGCCGGGCAAGACCGGUGCCAGCCGCCGCGGUAAUACCGGCGGCUCGAGUGGUGGCCACUAUUACUGGGCUUAAAGCGUUCGUAGCUGGUUUGUUAAGUCUCUGGGGAAAUCUUCCGGCUUAACCGGAAGGCGUCUCAGGGAUACUGGCAGACUAGGGACCGGGAGAGGUGAGGGGUACUCCAGGGGUAGGAGUGAAAUCCUGUAAUCCUUGGGGGACCACCUGUGGCGAAGGCGCCUCACCAGAACGGCUCCGACAGUGAGGGACGAAAGCUGGGGGAGCAAACCGGAUUAGAUACCCGGGUAGUCCCAGCCGUAAACGAUGCGCGUUAGGUGUAUCGGUGACCACGAGUCACCGAGGUGCCGAAGAGAAAUCGUGAAACGUGCCGCCUAGGA
rnacentral:rRNA from 1 species